rnacentral:rRNA from 1 species
UACGUAGGGUGCGAGCGUUGUCCGGAAUUAUUGGGCGUAAAGAGCUUGUAGGCGGUUUGUCGCGUCUGCUGUGAAAACUCGGGGCUUAACCUCGGGCCUGCAGUGGGUACGGGCAGACUAGAGUGCGGUAGGGGAGAUUGGAAUUCCUGGUGUAGCGGUGGAAUGCGCAGAUAUCAGGAGGAACACCGGUGGCGAAGGCGGGUCUCUGGGCCGUAACUGACGCUGAGGAGCGAAAGCGUGGGGAGCGAACAGG